CCUACGGGAGGCAGCAGUGAGGAAUAUUGGUCACUGGACGAGAGUCUGAACCAGCCAAGUAGCGUGAAGGAUGACUGCCCUAUGGGUUGUAAACUUCUUUUAUAUGGGAAUAAAACGUUCCACGUGUGGGAUUUUGUAUGUACCAUAUGAAUAAGGAUCGGCUAACUCCGUGCCAGCAGCCGCGGUAAUACGGAGGAUCCGAGCGUUAUCCGGAUUUAUUGGGUUUAAAGGGAGCGUAGGUGGAUUGUUAAGUCAGUUGUGAAAGUUUGCGGCUCAACCGUAAAAUUGCAGUUGAAACUGGCAGUCUUGAGUACAGUAGAGGUGGGCGGAAUUCGUGGUGUAGCGGUGAAAUGCUUAGAUAUCACGAAGAACUCCGAUUGCGAAGGCAGUUCACUGGACUGCAACUGACACUGAGGCUCGAAAGUGUGGGUAUCAAACAGGAUUAGAUACCCCAGUAGUC
rnacentral:rRNA from 1 species